rnacentral:misc_RNA from 1 species
AAGACAUUCUGGGAGGUGGUGAAGAAUAAAUCGACAGAGGAUUACGAAGUGUUUCCUUAUAUAAUAACAUUACUGGGCACAAGUUUAUGGACUUUCUAUGGAUGUCUGAAACCAGGUGGUUUGCUCGUAGUGACUGUGAAUGGAAUUGGUGCCACUUUCCAGUUCAUCUAUGUCACUCUCUUUCUCAUCUACGCUCCAAAGAACAAGAAGGUGAGGGCGGCGAAGCUGGCGGCGCUUUUAAACGUUGGGUUUCUUGGGGUGGUGAUUGCAGGGCUAGAAGAGUUACG